AACUGUUCCAAACUUAGAGCAGAGUUCUAACGGGUCACAAUGGCCAGGGGUGAGCUGAGCUAACACAGCCCUCUCCCUGAGAUGUGGGAAAUUAUUUCAGGCUACCCUCAUCCUUUGGUAUCGUAUAGGUUUAGAUCAGGUAGCGGAAGAGUUUAGCUUGCAAACUGCAUUUCUUCCUGCAGAAAAGGCUUUGGCCUAUUCUUAAUUCCCUACAACCACCCCACCUCUCAGUUUGGGUUAUUAAACUGCUCAUACAACAUGUGUUCCUUAACAACAACACAUUUUCCAAGAUGAUUAGGAUUCUGGGAGCUGUAAUCUGAAAAGGCAACUUUCCCAAUUUCUAGCCUUUCCUAGAGAGGUUUGGGAUUUUCUGAAGGUAGAUACAGAAAGAGUCACCAAUACCAGUACCAACCCCUUUAGGAAGCAAGGCUUCAUCAGUCAGUCCCUCUGAACUGACCAAUGCUCUUCACAGACUAAGAAUCUGUCUCCUUCAUCUCCGAAGCUCUUCAGGUCUCUUCACACAGUGAACUGAAGGCGUUUGCUAUAGUAGGAGGCUGUGGCUACCCACAGAUGGUAAAGCCAUGUAGAUGGUUGUUCCAGGAAGAUACAAUUUUAGAGACCAUCCCACACUUCGCAAAAGGCAAAUUAAAAAUUUCGCAAUACAUGACAAACUACAGCCGGGAUCCUGCAACAUGGAACUGAUGUCAUUGACAGCGGCAAAUUCCUGCUUCUUUUUUCAAUGCUGGGUGUGUGCAACUUUGUAUCAUGGUGUACGAGUCAUACACAGCUGAAAAUUAAAGGCAGAGUUACACAACAGUGUACUGGCCUUUACUGUAUAGUUCUAAACAAUAUACAAAUAUACAUGAAAAGGGUUGCUGUAGGGCUC
rnacentral:lncRNA from 1 species